AGUGAACGCUGGCGGUAGGCCUAACACAUGCAAGUCGAACGGCAGCACAGGAGAGCUUGCUCUCUGGGUGGCGAGUGGCGGACGGGUGAGGAAUACAUCGGAAUCUACUUUUUCGUGGGGGAUAACGUAGGGAAACUUACGCUAAUCCCGCAUACGACCUACGGGUGAAAGCAGGGGAUCUUCGGACCUUGCGCGAUUGAAUGAGCCGAUGUCGGAUUAGCUAGUUGGCGGGGUAAAGGCCCACCAAGGCGACGAUCCGUAGCUGGUCUGAGAGGAUGAUCAGCCACGCUGGAACUGAGACACGGUCCAGACGCCUACGGGAGGCAGCAGUGGGGAAUAUUGGACAAUGGGCGCAAGCCUGAUCCAGCCAUACCGCGUGGGUGAAGAAGGCCUUCGGGUUGUAAAGCCCUUUUGUUGGGAAAGAAAUCCAGCUGGUUAAUACCCGGUUGGGAUGACGGUACCCAAAGAAUAAGCACCGGCUAACUUCGUGCCAGCAGCCGCCGUAA
rnacentral:rRNA from 1 species